rnacentral:rRNA from 1 species
AGAGUUUGAUCCUUGCUCAGGAUAAACGCUAGCGGAGGGCUUAACACAUGCAAGUCGAGGGGCAGCAAAAAUAAUAUAGGUUUAACUUAUGUAUUUUUGGCGACCGGCAAACGGGUGAGUAAUACAUACGUAACUUUCCUUAUGCUGAGGAAUAGCCUUAGGAAACUUGGAUUAAUACCUCAUAAUACAAUUUUUUAGAAAGAAAAAUUGUUAAAGUUUUAUUAUGGCAUAAGAUAGGCGUAUGUCCAAUUAGUUAGUUGGUAAGGUAAUGGCUUACCAAGACGAUGAUUGGUAGGGGGCCUGAGAGGGGCGUUCCCCCACAUUGGUACUGAGACACGGACCAAACUUCUACGGAAGGCUGCAGUGAGGAAUAUUGGUCAAUGGAGGAAACUCUGAACCAGCCACUCCGCGUGCAGGAUGAAAGCCUUAUUGGUUGUAAACUGCUUUUGUAUAUGAAUAAAAAAUUCUAAUUAUAGAAAUAAUUGAAGGUAAUAUACGAAUAAGUAUCGACUAACUCUGUGCCAGCAGUCGCGGUAAUACAGAGGAUACAAGCGUUAUCCGGAUUUAUUGGGUUUAAAGGGUGCGUAGGCGGUUUUUUAAGUCAGUAGUGAAAUCUUAAAGCUUAACUUUAAAAGUGCUAUUGAUACUGAAAAACUAGAGUAAGGUUGGAGUAACUGGAAUGUGUGGUGUAGCGGUGAAAUGCAUAGAUAUCACACAGAACACCGAUAGCGAAAGCAAGUUACUAACCCUAUACUGACGCUGAGUCACGAAAGCAUGGGGAGCAAACAGGAUUAGAUACCCUGGUAGUCCAUGCCGUAAACGAUGAUCACUAACUAUUGGGUUUUGUACGUUGUAAUUCAGUGGUUAAGCGAAAGUGUUAAGUGAUCCACCUGAGGAGUACGACCGCAAGGUUGAAACUCAAAGGAAUUGACGGGGGCCCGCA